GUUGAGCUCCACAUCAUAUUUACUUGAGCUACAGAACACUGAAUACCUCCUCCUUCCCAAUUCCCAUGGUAGAGGCUACAAAGGGAUUCCGGUCUUACUUGGAGUCACACAAUUACAAAUGUUGGGUAAAAUGCUAAUAAGCUUGUAAAAUCCACAUAAAAUGUGUCACUUCCCCUGCUAUUGUGGUGUCUUUAUUAUUGGAAUAGGUUGUCUCGGAAGAUAUAGGUGGAUCAAUUACAACAGAACAACACCGCAAGAAGAUGAAGAAUGGAAAGGAGGAAUACCCUUUGUGGGGAGAUGUUUUCAAGCAGACUCACCUUGAAAAGAGUGCAACGGUGAAGUUGGCAUCUGGAGAGUUGAUUGGGAGCCAACCUGAGCAUUGGGUUAAUGAGAAUUUUUGGACCGUAUUUGUAAGUUAUCUUUAUCCUUUUUAGAUUUAAGAUUUGAUGUAUUUAAUUAUUUUCCAUGUGUUUAGAGUGGUAACAAUUUUAAUGUUUUGGUAAAUUGGAGGACAAAUAUGAGAAGACAAUGUGUGAGAAAUAUGGCCCCAACCCUAGUCAGCAUCCGUUGGGAGAUGUUGAAAUAUGGGAGCAUUGUGUUGGCGGGAAAAAGAAGGGGCGAGUUUACGGGGUAGGAUCUGAGUUUAAGGGGUAGGAUCAUCAGAUCCGGGCAACGUCGUGUCGGGGACACCUUACAAGUAGUCCUGACAAUUUGAUACAAGACACGAUUAAAACGAAACGAACACGAUACAACUUUUCCGUGUAUGUGUUUUAGAAAUUCAUGUUUCGUGUUUAUUUGUAUCUAACAUAUAUUUUAAAUCCGUGUUUCGUGUCUUAUACAUGUCAAACACGAUUUAACCAGUUUAAACACGUAUAAGACAUGAUACAAAUUCGUUUUGACA